AAAGGAAGAAAAGGGAAGAAAAGAAGAAGAACAAAACCCUAGCUAAGAAAUUCAAGGGAAAAUCAGUAGAUUUCAAGGAAUCAAGACAUCAAAGGUGAAAUUUCUUAAAUCUAGCUUGUGAUCUAUCUUUCCUAUGCAUUCUUUUGCAUUUUCCAUGAUUGAAUCACAAGAUAUCAUGAAGGAUUCAUGGCUGAUUGAAUUUAGAAGAGAGAUUGAUGAUUUAUUUGGUUAGUAUUUUGAGUAUUAUUUUAGUUNCUUCAUGGAUUCUUCAUUGGCCAAAUUUCAUAAAGAAAAUAUUGAAGAUGAAUCUUGUGAUGUCUUAUGUUAUUUAGUUAGAAUAUAAUGAAUUGUGGUGGUGGAAACCAAAAAUGGUAAUGCUUAGCAUGAAAAACCGUAUACCCCUCAAGAACCUCCAUGGCCGAAUUUUUCAAGAGAAAAUGUGAGGACGAUUUUGCCACAUUUCAAGUUAUUUAAAUUGUGUUUAAUGAUUUGGAUUAUUGGGAGAGAAAUGGAAUUGUUUGGAGUUGAAUUGGACGUAUUGGCCAACUAAUCGGGUGAUAGAUCAAAUUAGGCCAAUACCAUUUUAUUUAGGUACAUAAUUGAAUUUAUAUUGAACACCGUAUUUAGAUAGUUACCCGAGUAUUUCACAUCCAAUUUCGUGCAUUAGUAUAGAGCCUUAAUUGGUUUUACACCGGAAAGUUAUUCACGACUCUAGCACACAUAUUAAUCUUUUCUAAGGGUAUUUAUCAUAUUCAACCAUCAUUUCCACACCAAUAACCUAGCAUAUGGUAGCAAUUAUAAUUUACUUCCAUCAAGCAUUUUUUAAAUCCACAUGCACCACAAUUUACAUCUACAUGCUGCCAACAAUCAUAAUAUCAAUAUUCAUUCAUGCACACCAAUAUUCAUAGCCUUUUAAACCUAUCACAACAACACACAUUCACACAUUACAUUGUUCUAAACUUUAAACUACCAAAAUUGUUCCUAACCGUACCCACAACAUCACAUUAACAUCACACUUUGCAUGUCUUACCACUUCUCUGUCACCUUAAUUCCACUAGACACCCAUAGGUUUGGUGGCUUGCAUGUCACCAAAUGGUCUCCAAAUCUAGCCAAUCUUUGAUGCCACAAGCACAAACAAUCAACAUAUAUUUCAUUUUUCCUUUUUACUUGUGAUUUAGAGGUUAACACUUACCCACUACAUAAUCUAGCUCAAAACCACCAUGCAUUCCAAGAUUCUUCCACAUGCAUGCCUCAGGUUCCUUGGAUCUUUGUUGAUCCUUGCUACCACAAACAAAACCUCACAGUAUAAUUGGUUCAAAAUGCAUGCAUUCAAACAAAACAACAAUUUCUACCUUCCUUACCUUGAAAUCUUCAAGACAAACCACCAAAAUCUUUCCAAACCUCAAUAAUGGUGUAUGGGUGGGGAGGAAAACCUCUCAAUUUUCUCCUUUCUCCUCAAAGGUCAAGCCCCCCUCCAAGUUUUUCUUCUCCUUCUUUCCUUCCACUUUCUCCUUUCUUUGUUUUCUUUCUCUUUCUCUAUUUUCUUUUUCUUUUUUUCUUGCUCUCGAGUGGAAUUUUUUCAAGCUUUCUUUCUUUCUUUCCUUCUCUGAAUGGUUGGCCUUCUCUCUCAAUUUCUCAAGCUAACCACAUUUCUCACUCUUUUACUCACUCAUAGGCACGGUUUUGCUAAGCCUUCAAGCCAUUUUCUUUUUCCUUUCUCUUUCUUUUUAAUUGUUUAUUACAUUGCCACUCAUUUGGACUAAUCACAUUUCAUGCAUUCUUUUUCUCUUCUUUUCAUUUGGCCAACUUCCAAGAUCAAUCAAAAUACAUGCAUCAAUUUCCUUUUAUUCUUAUUUGGCCAUUUUGCUAACCAAUAAGCUUUCAUGCACCAAUUUCCUUUCUUCCACAUUAGCUAAAUAUCCAUCCUUCAUUAUCCUUUAUUUCUUUAUUCCACCACUCAUACUUCAUGCAGAACUUAAUCUUAUAUUUUAUUUGGUCUUCUAUUAAUUUAUUCAAGUCAUAUACACAUCAAAUCUUCCUUUUCUUAUUUGGCCAGCUAAUGCACCAAUACCAUAGCAUGCAAAAUAGAUUUAGUCUUACUUUUACUAUUUUUCCUUUUUACCAUGCAUGGUGGGGGGCCCACAUGUUCCCCACUAACUUCCUCCUUUUUACAUGCAAUCAUUUGCAUGUAAUAGUGAGUUUUUGCAUGCAAGUUCCAUCAUUGCACAUAAUUUAACUUCCCUUGGUUAGUAAAUUUCCACUUAGCUUCAAAUUAUAGUAAUUGUACAUAAGUCUUCGACUUUUCCUUAUUUACCAUUUGUCCCAUCAAACUUUUCAUCCUUUACAAUUUAAUCCUCUAUCAUUUCUUUUAAUUCCAAUUUCUUCUUAUCUUUCUUCCUUUACAUGUAUACAAUUAAAAUAUAUAACUUGAACUUCACUAAGAUAUCACCAUAAUAUUUAAAUAUAUACUUACUUGCUCGUGCUCUAUUAAAUAAAGACACGCAGGUCCCACUUACGUCGUUCUUCUUCAAAAAUUCUCUCCUUCUUCUUUUCCCCCACUUAAAUUGACCUUAUAAUCCUCUUCCAUGACUAAUCUGGACAUCAAAUAAAAUAUUAAUAUUAUUUUAUUUCAAAAUUUUUCACUUGUCUCCUCGGGUCUCAAAACGUCCUAUUAUGCCCCGAUUCACUUCCAAAUCACCUUUUAAUGCGCUAAUUCAUCCUCGAUAAAAAUGUUAUUAUUUAAUUAUUAUUUUCACGGGUGCGAAAUAUUUUACUCUUGAACAUUCUUUUCACCCUUCACUGCUCUUUAGCGCAUAAAUUCACGUCAAUUAAUCCUUCGUCUUACCGAUACGGUUAUGUUAACUACUAUACGGGGAUACAGGGUGUUACAUCUUUGAUUAGGAUUUUCUUCCUUUGUUUAAAAAAAUGAAUUUAAAAAAUUAUUGGAUUAAGAUUGGUUUAAAUCAAUCCUUAAUCCAUUUAGUUGUUCUUUCAAAACUUUUCUUAUUAUUAUCAUUAUCUUUUUUUUUUGUUUUCAAAUUUCUAUUAUUGUUUAUUAUUUAUAUUUUUCUAUUUUUUUAUUUUUUAGUUUUUAUUUUAUUUAUUUUUAUUAUUAUGAUAACCUCGGUCAAAUGGGUUUACAUAUGCCUUUUUUUGCGCAUUUCUUAAGAAUCAAGAAUUGUGCAAAGAUGUAGACACCAUUUUGGUUGGACUAAGAAAAACACCUCAUCUUUAAACGAGUCUAUACAAUUUUUAAAAUAAUUGAAAAAGCUAACCAAAAGAAGAGCGAAUUGGUUUUCAAAAUAAAAUUUUGAUCUUUCUUUAGAACUGAGUUAAAUAUUUAAACUUUAAGUACUAAGCUUGAAAACUAGAAUAUGCGAGCUUGUAAAAAUAAAGUAUGGAGCAAGUAAAGAAGAUGAAAGAGAAGAAAAUACUCCACCGUGAUUUUUAUUGAUUGUUAUAACCUAAACUCGUGGGCCAUGAUCGACGCAAGGGUAUCGAUGGGAUUGAUCCUCUUAACCCAAGCAAGCCUUGAAACAAAUAAACUAAGCACUCAAAUGUCCAUCAUGGGACUCAUCCCAUGAAAUAUUUUACAAAGAAUGUAUAAUUAUAUCCUUAUCAAACAUCAGAAUAUCAGUUUGCACAAUUUCAUGUUAAGUGUGGAAGCAUUACAAAUACAAAGUUCAAAUUAUAAGCCACCUUGGGCAAAUUCGAGUGUAAGCCAUUUCAUGGCAAUCUUAAAGUAUAAUAUUUAUUUACAAAAUGUAAACAACAUCUAAAAUCUGUUAUAGACAAACAUAAUAGAUAAACCAGUAGAGUAUAACUAAAAGUAAAGGGGAUGACACUUACUAGAUGCUUUAUCUAUCACUUACCAAAGCAAUUGUAGAAAUAGCUUUUCCCAAAGGACAACAAGCCAAGCAAUCUCCUGAUCUAAAACAACAAAUGCAUCUUACAUGUUUGAGUUAUAAAAAAACUCAAUGUGCAAAUACAAGGAAGGGGAAUAAGCUAAACGAGAGAGUGUUUAUCAAAGAUACUUUCAAAAUCAUGUAACUAAUCUAUUUCCAAACAAUAUCAAAGUCCACCUAUCAGGCGUAUCAAUUAUCCAAAAGAUUUCAAGAGUUUGCUUCCCGAGUGAUGUCAAAUGUCAAAGGGUGCAAGUCACUUCCAAUCAUGAUCAAUUAUUCAAAAAAUCUCAAAACUUCAUUUCAAACGAAUGCAAAUUUGUUUGAAAUGUUUUAAAUAAAUUUUAGUUUGAAAACCCAUUCACAAGCCUUUGACAUGAAAUUAAUUAUUUAUAAAACAUUUUAAGUAUUUCAAAUGAAAACAAGUUUUUAAAAUCGAUUUAAAAAUGUUUGGAGCAGAAUCAAAGUGUACAAAGUUUAGUUCUAAAACAAAUUCAUUACAUUUAGAAAAUCCUUUGAAGACUAUUUGGAUUCAUAAAUAAGUGUGAUCUAUCCAUGAUCAAAUAAUCAAAGUCCAAACACCAAAGUCAAAACAAAUAUUAAAACUCCAAACCAAAUAUACCAAAUAUCAUUUCAAAUAGAUUGUGGAGAACUGGAUAGAAAAGAUAAUGAAAACAAAGUGCUAUAACACCAAAGUGAUCAAAUACAUAAUAGUCAUCAAUCGUGUAACAAAAGGGGUAGAAUCACAUCAACUAUCGAACAAAAUAAAACUAAGCACUGUGCACAAUGGCUAAUGGUUAUUGUCACCACCUAUAAGUCCAUAACUUAAAUAGGCUCUACUAAAACAUUUUUAUGAGUUUCCAAAUAUCUAAAUGUUCAUUUCUAAAUGAAAGGGUGAAUCCAUUCAUCAUCAAAACAAAAGGGGUUGAUAAAAAGCUAAAUCAUCUUAUCCAAGAGUCCAUUCAUCAACAAAAUCAAAGGGUCCAAAGCAAAACAAAAUUCAUGAUUGUUAGAUCACAAGCUUGAGAUAAAGUAACCAAGAAGUGGUGAAUUGGUUCUUUAAGAAAAAUUUAAUCUUUCUUGAAAACAGAGGUAAAGAUGAACACUUUGAAAGCACAACUUAAAAAGCAUAGUGUGAAGCUUAAAAGAUGAAGAAUAAAGCAAGUAAUGAGUAUAAAGGAGAAAAGAAAAACUCAGCCAUAAUUUUUAUAGAGGUUCAACCCUCAAAGCUUACAUUUUCUCCUUUGAUAACAUCAGGAGUUUAAAUCCACUAUCAACUGCCUUUCUCAACCAAGUUCAACCAUAACCUUUACAAGUAACUACCUUUUAAGGAUCAAGCACAACCUUUACAACAAUGACUUUUAAGGAUCAUGCACAACCUCUUUACCUUUUUCAAAGAGGUAUACCUUUUCUACCUUUUUCUAUCGAGGUAUAACUUUACAAUAGUGGUUUACAAACCUCCCUAAUGGUUGAUGAGUUGAGUUUAGUAUAGGAGAAUGAAGAUGGAUCAAGGAAUGUAAGCUCAAGAAAUGAUGCUCUAUUUUUAAGAGUUUGCCUUGGACAAGAGAAAGGAAUGAACUUUUUGCUUUCUUUUCAUCACAGAGUGAUUUUCUUGCUCUAUUUUCUUUCUUAUUGUUAUUCUCAUUUUAAAAAGUCCUUCAUAAAGUUAUUCAUAAGUCUUCUAAAUUUUUGCCUGUUAGAGAGAAAUGUUGCUCAAUUUUCAAAAGUUAGGGCCACUUGAAUUACGUCAGUCGACCUUUAGGAAUCGGUCAAUGGACAUUUGAGAAGUCGAUUAUUUUGUAACUCGAGACAUUCUUUUUUUUGAGAAUCAACUUUUUUACUCUUGAGAUAUUGAUUCUUCUUGCUUCAAUUUGAGUGUGAUGAUUUUUGUGUGCCAAGAAUCGAUCAGUGUGUUUACGAAUAAUUGAUUAUUCUUGUCUCACUUCAAGUUGGGAGUAUUCUAUUUUGUGAGAAUCAAUCAUUGCCUUCUCUAGAAGUUGAUUCUUCUUAUCUAUUGAGCGCUAAAUUGAAAUGUCAAAUUCAAUUUUUUUCGCUCUAGAAAUGAGUAAGGAUCCCAAUAGCUUAUCAAGUCUAAGUUUGUUUAAAUUUUUUGCCUCCAAGACUUAGGAAGGCAAUAUAGGAUUUUCUUCACAAGUUGGGCAUUGGGGAACUCUUUACACAAAACCUUUAGUCCUCUUAUUAUUUUGGUGCACCUUUUAUACGUCUCAUUUUCAAUCCAUCCUCUUUCAUUUUGAAAAGCUCAUGAUCUAGAGUAAAAAAUCCAAUCUGAUUAUUUGACUUGUGAAGUACUUUCAUAGCAAUUUUCUAAGGUAUCUAAUAUCUCCUCAGUUAAUGUGCAUAUUGCUACUUUAUUAAACUCACUAUUGCUAAGUGCACAUUGCAAAGUAGUCACAACUUUGUGAAUAAGCUGAAUCAAUUUUCUAUCCUUAUUAUCCUACUCAGCUCUAGUUUUAAUAUGUCUCACACCUUCUACUAGCUAGCUAGGGACAUAAGGUCCUUUUAAAAUAACAUCCCCCAUAGUUUUAAAUUAAUAGAUUGAACGAAGUUUUCAAAUCUUAUCCCCCAAAAUAGAUAGUGUCACAGCCCAAUCUUGGACCAUGACCGACGCAUGGACCCAAUAGGCAUAGCCCAUCCGGCCCAAGUAAGCCUUUUUAUAAAAACUUAUUCAGUAGACCAUCUGUCCCUUUUUUACCUCUAAGGUUCUUAAUUCAUUGUUUUCAAAAAUAGUUUCCUUUUGGAAAUAAGUCAUGGCAAUUGAACAAUACCAUUCACAAAAUAAUAUUACCAUUUGCCAACCUGUGACAACAUUAUCAUGCAAACCAAGCAUACAAUGUUUACAACAAAUCCAAUGAAGUACAUUUAAAUAACCAUAUACACAUACAAAGACCUUGACUAUCAGCGGAGUGACUCUGGUGUGGAUACUAUCAUGGAGUGUUAUGGUAAACCUACCGUAAGAGAAACAGGAGGAAGUGCCUCUACCUAAGAUCCCACUAUCUUCGAACCUAAAAACUAAAACAUGAAGUUGAAAAGGAUGAGUAUAAACCCAAUGAGUGAACAUAGGAAGGGAACAAGCAAACGAUACGGAGAGCUUUUCGAAAACAUGAUUCACUUGUUUAAAAACAAUGCAAUUUUGUAUAUUAUGAACAAAACCCGAUGUCGUGCUAUUUUUUAACUCAUUUUUCAACUCAUUUUAACUCAUUCUAACCCCCUGCACCCGAGAGUUUCUUGCUGCAGUGAGAAUGAAUUUCGCUGCAGUGAGAAACAGGGCAAUGAACUUACAAGAAUUCUUGUCACAACGAAAAUCCAUUUUUUUGCUAUAGUGAAAAUCAACUAGAAAGCAUUUGUCAAAUUUGAACAUUCAAUAUUCAAUGCAAGCACAUAAUACUUUCCCUAACCUCUCUAUGUAUGUGUACACAUGUAUACAACUCCCAUCUCACUAGCUCAUGUGCACUUCCACACCGCACAUAGCUAGAAUCAUCCUGUGCACUCCCACACCGCAAAAGGCAAUAUCAUCAUGUGCACUAUCACCUUGCACAUGGCGUAUAUCAUUAGUGUGUGCACUCACAUAGCACACCACUAUCACACAUAUGGCAUAUAUCAUCAGUGUGUGCACUCACACAGCACACCACUAUCACACACAUGGCAUUUAUCAUCAGUGUGUGCACUCUCACUACACACCACUAUCACCAUCAUGUGCAUUCCCACACCACACAUGCAUGGUUACAAUUGUCACCCAAUAGUGCCAUUCAAUGCCUGACAUACAUGUCAACAUAAUGUAAAACCACAUGAGUUCAUCACAUUCAUAUUUCACAACAUAAAAAUGUUUCAUCAAGGGCUUGUUCCCACGCAUAUUUAGAGAAAAGUUCAAUAAAAAGUUUUCAAGUGAGUCAACCAAAUACAUAUGCAUGUAUCCCAAAACAUUUUAAUGCAAGUUCACUCACCUUAAUGCCACCUUACAAACUAGUGCCCACAAAGUCUUAAUCCAAGUAGUCCUAAAAUACCGUUAAAACCUAUAUUUACCACUAAGCCAUAACAACCUCCAUCAAGUCAUAAUUUGAACUCAAUAAUUCUAAUAAAUAUCCACUAUACAAUCUACAUUCUAACCCAACUUUUAACCUAGAAUACUAGUCUAAUUCACAAACCCAUUAAACUAAUUGUUCAAGUUUGAAGUUUCUUUACCUUGGUGCUUGAAAGUAUAAAGAUCAACCAAACCUAGAUAUUUCAAGGAAAGAAAAUUUGAAGAAACUUAGAAAAUAAAGUUUAAAAAUUACAAACCCAUAAAAUUCAAAAAUUCAAGGGUUGAAAAUAUAUACCUUUUAGCCUUAAAAAUGAAGAUUUGAAGCAAAAAAUCCAAGUGUUGUUGUCACAGCCCAAAUACCGAGCCAUGACCGGCGCAUAGGCCUAAUGGACAUAGCCCACUAAGCCCAAGCAAGCCUAUUUAUGCAAUUCCGAUUAUCAUUCCCAUCCAUCAUCUUUAAAAUGAAGUGUUGUAACUCUCAAAAGUAAAUGUUCCAGUAAUAUUUUAUAACAACUGAAUAUUCAUAUUUAUAUUAUAUCAAAGUACUGUCAUCAUCAAUCCAACAUAUACAUACUUCAUUUAUAGCAUGACUCUUAGUAGUUUACAUUACAUAUACAUGUUCACAAGUAAUGACUCGAGACCAUUAGUGGAGUGACUUUGAGUGAAGAUACAGCUAUUGAGAUGCCAUAGUACCUACCAAGAAGACGAACAUAUGUGUGUGACUCAAUCUAGGUCCCAACUGCCUCCAAAUCUAAAAACAUGAAUUUUAAAAACAUGAGUAUGAAACUCAGUGAGUGAACAUAAGAAGAGAACAAGUAAUCAAUAGGAAGAAUUUGGAAAUCAUAAUGCACUAGUUUCAAAAACAAUGCAAUUGAUUUAAUUUCUUACUAAAAACCCCUCAUUUCAAACUUUGAUUAAUAACCUCAUAGUGUUGCAAUAACCCAUGAUCAAUCCACAAAGUUAAAUGGGUGAAAAAUAUGUCAAAAAUUGAAUAGGGUAGCAUGCAGGACAGAAUGUUUCUCGCUAUAGCGAAGUUCAUUCUCGUUGCAGCGAGAAAUAGUAUCAGUUUGCAUAUGUUUUAGUUUUUCCAGUAUAUCUUUCGCUACAGAAGUCCAAUUGACCUGAUUUUUAGACCAUUAGAAAUCUAAGAGGUAGGGCUACAACUUUAAUUUUUACCACUUUUCCCAGUUCGGACUAAAAAGUGGCUAAAAUCUUCAUCAAAUUGAAGGUACUACAUCAAAACCUGAGAGUUUCUCGCUGCAACGAGUUUCUGGCUGCCAAAACAGAAUAUUUCUUGCUGCAGCGAGAAGCAGGGCACCUAAGUGUCAAAAGAACCUCCUUUGCACUAAAAAUCCAUUUGGUGUUGCAAUGAACUCAAUUUGCAAGAAAAUGGGACAUUCUCAAGAUUCAUCAUGCCAAUUUCAACAUGGAAUGGUCAAAAGUUUCCAAAGUUCAACAUGCCAAAAUUUCACAUGCAUUACAACCAUAUACCAUAUAUGUAUAUAUANNNNNNNNNNNNNNNNNNNNNNNNNNNNNNNNNNNNNNNNNNNNNNNNNNNNNNNNNNNNNNNNNNNNNNNNNNNNNNNNNNNNNNNNNNNNNNNNNNNNNNNNNNNNNNNNNNNNNNNNNNNNNNNNNNNNNNNNNNNNNNNNNNNNNNNNNNNNNNNNNNNNNNNNNNNNNNNNNNNNNNNNNNNNNNNNNNNNNNNNNNNNNNNNNNNNNNNNNNNNNNNNNNNNNNNNNNNNNNNNNNNNNNNNNNNNNNNNNNNNNNNNNNNNNNNNNNNNNNNNNNNNNNNNNNNNNNNNNNNNNNNNNNNNNNNNNNNNNNNNNNNNNNNNNNNNNNNNNNNNNNNACCUUAAAAUCAAAUUCUAACUCAUUUCUCACCUUGGUGGUUUUUUUUUGUAGUUGAAUUCAUUUUCAAAAGCUUCCAAGCUACUAUGGCAAGUCUCUCUUUCUCUCUCUAAAACUUUCAACUAGUGAAAGAAAGUGCUAAACAAAGACUUUUUGAGGGUUUUAAGGUGUAAAAGUGGAAGAGCAUGAAAAACCGUAUGAAAGAGUGGGCAAAAGCAUGAAAUUUGGAGCUAGAGAGAGAAAGUUAUGGAAGUUGCAAAGCAAGCUUCCAUAGAGGAUGGAAGCAACGUGAGA
rnacentral:lncRNA from 1 species